ensembl:misc_RNA 7SK 7SK RNA
AGAUGUGAGAGUGAUCUGGCUACAUUUGUCACCCCAUUGAUCGCCAGGGCUGAUUCCUCUAAUCUGGCUAGCUAGGUGGGUGUCCCCUUCGUCCCUCACCACUCCAUGUUAAGUCCCUUCGAAUAGAGUAGGCUUAGGAGUAACUGAGCUCCCCUGCUAGAACUUCCAAACUAGCUCCCAAAAGCUUCCUUUCACCCAUGUUAAAACAUCAUUGCUAGACAGAAUUACAAAUGCUGUAUAAAAAGAUAGCCAACAUGGAACUGUUUUACU